GAAUUGAUCUUGGUCAGAACGAACGCUGGCGGCGCGUCUUAAGCAUGCAAGUCGAACGGCAAGAGGUAGCAAUACCUCCUAGAGUGGCGGACUGGUGAGUAACACGUGGGUGACAUACCCUUCAGAUGGGGAUAGCUAUUAGAAAUAGUAGAUAAUACCGAAUACGAGCACAGGGGUUAGAGAUCUGUGAGGAAAGGAGCUAAGGCUCCGCUGAAGGAAUGGCCUGCGGCCCAUUAGCUAGUUGGUGAGGUAAGAGCCCACCAAGGCGAUGAUGGGUAUCCGGCCUUAGAGGGUGAACGGACACAUUGGGACUGAGAUACGGCCCAGACUCCUACGGGAGGCAGCAGCUAAGAAUAUUCCGCAAUGGACGAAAGUCUGACGGAGCGACGCCGCGUGGAUGAAGAAGGCCGGAAGGUUGUAAAAUCCUUUUGAAACUGAAGAAUAAGCGUUGUAGGGAAUGACAGCGUGGUGACAGUAGGUUUUGAAUAAGCAACGGCUAAUUACGUGCCAGCCGCGGC
rnacentral:rRNA from 1 species